GCUGGGAGCCAUAGACCUCGAAGCUGGGGCGUCUGACACCUGAGGCCCGAAGAUAGUGGCCGCAGUUGUAUUAUCUUGUGCAUUUGUCAAGAGAGGUCAUCCGAACGCUGAGAUAAAGGCUUGGGAUUCCAUUGUCUCAUCUCUUUCUGGGAGUGAUUUUCCUCUCAUCUGGAAGUGCAGAGACAGAGUCUUCAUAGGGAACUGAGAUUACCUCCAAAAAACAUUUGUGAAGUGAGCAAUUCCUAGAAGGCUGUUAAUGUUGAUUAAUGAAAUUAUACAAAAAGAAUCAUAAGAUAGCUGGAGAAGAAAAUUAUCUGUGAUGCCUGGAAAAGAUACGUCCCAGUGGGAGGUAAGUACAGAAUCCUGAGUUCUGAGAUGUGAGGAAUUCAGUUGAGGUAAUGGUUCUACUAUAAUUGUGGCUACCAUUAAAUUUUUGUUUCUUCAAAUUAUGAUUUAUUUCUCUUCCUGAUAACAUUGAACAAUCAUAAAUGUGGAGGGAAAGGAAUCAUUGAGGGUUGAUUUAGAGAGAGUAAACAGGUGUAAAGCCAUGGUUCCUGUGUGUUUUAACAAAUACUAACUGAGCACCCGCCCUGUUGCAGAUGCAUUUCUAGAUGUGUGAACAAAGAAAUUUAUCUACCUUAAUUUGAAUUGAGAGAAGCAGACAAUAAAUAAUAAAGGAAAUGUUAUAAGUUACAUAGUGACUUAUAAGGUGUUAUAAGUUAUGUAACCUAUGUUACAUAUAUGUAACUUAUGCUAUAAGUUAUGUUAUAAGUUAUGUUAUAUACAAUAUAACAUAACAAGUUAUGUUAUAUAUGUUAUGUUAUAACUUAUGUUGACAGUCCUCAGAAGGUCUCCCUCUCCCUCUCCCGUCUCCCUCUCCCUCUCUUUCCACGGUCUCCCUCUGAUGCCGAGCCGAAGCUGGACUGUACUGCUGCCAUCUCGGCUCACUGCAACCUCCCUGCCUGAUUCUCCUGCCUCAGCCUGCCGAGUGCCUGCGAUUGCAGGUGCGUGCCGCCAUGCCUGACUGGUUUUCGUAUUUUUUUGGUGGAGACGGGGUUUCGCUGUGUUGGCUGGGCUGGUCUCCAGCUCCUAACCGCGAGUGAUCCGCCAGCCUCGGCCUCCCGAGGUGCCGGGAUUGCAGACGGAGUCUCGUUCACUCAGUGCUCAAUGGUGCCCAGGCUGGAGUGCAGUGGCGUGAUCUCGGCUCGCUACAACCUCCACCUCCCAGCCACCUGCCUUGGCCUCCCAAAGUGCCGAGAUUGCAGCCUCUGCCCGGCCGCCACCCCGUCUGGGAAGUGAGGAGCGUCUCUGCCUGGCCGCCCAUCGUCUGGGAUGUGAGGAGCCCCUCUGCCCGGCCGCCCAUCAUCUGGGAUGUGAGGAGCCCCUCUGCCCGGCUGCCCAGUCUGGAAAGUGAGGAGCGUCUCUGCCCGGCCGCCAUCCCAUCUAGGAAGUGAGGAGCGCCUCUUCCCGGCCGCCAUCCCAUCUAGGAAGUGAGGAGUGUCUCUGCCCGGCUGCCCAUCGUCUGAGAUGUGGGGAGCGCCUCUGCCCUGCCGCCCCGUCCGGGAUGUGAGGAGCGUCUCUGCCCGGCCGCCCCGUCUGAGAAGUGAGGAGACCCUCUGCCUGGCAACCGCCCCGUCUGAAAAGUGAGGAGCCCCUCCGCCCGGCAGCCGCCCCGUCUGAGAAGUGAGGAGCCCCUCCGCCCGGCAGCCACCCCGUCUGGGAAGUGAGGAGCGUCUCCGCCUGGCAGCCACCCCGUCCGGGAGGGAGGUGGGGGGGGUCAGUCCCCCGCCCGGCCAGCCGCCCCGUCCGGGAGGGAGGUGGGGGGGUCAGCCCCCUGCCCGGCCAGCCGCCCCAUCCGGGAGGUGAGGGGCGCCUCUGCCCGGCCGCCCCUACUGGGAAGUAAGGAGCUCCUCUGCCCGGCCACCACCCCGUCUGGGAGGUGUACCCAACAGCUCACUGAGAACGGGCCAUGAUGACAAUGGCGGUUUUGUGGAAUAGAGAGAGGGGAAAGGUGGGGAAAAGAUUGAGAAAUCGGAUGGUUGCCGUGUCUGUGUAGAAAGACGUAGAUAUGGGAGACUUUUCAUUUUGUUCUGUACUAAGAGAAAUUCUUCUGCCUUGGGAUCCUGUUGAUCUGUGACCUUACCCCCAACCCUGUGCUCUCUGAAACAUGUGCUGUGUCCACUCAGGGUUGAAUGGAUUAAGGGCAGUGCAAGAUGUGCUUUGUUAAACAGAUGCUUGAAGGCAGCAUGCUUGUUAAGAGUCAUCACCACUCCCUAAUCUCAAGUACCCAGGGACACAAACACUGCGGAAGGCCGCAGGGUCCUCUGCCUAGGAAAACCAGAGACCUUUGUUCACUUGUUUGUCUGCUGACCUUCCCUCCACUAUUGUCCUGUGACCCUGCCAAAUCCCCCUCUAUGAGAAACAAGCAAGAAUGAUCAAUUAAAAAA
rnacentral:lncRNA from 1 species